rnacentral:rRNA from 1 species
AUGAACGCUGGCCGCGUGCCUAAUACAUGCACGUCGCGCGCACAGACGAGGAGCUUGCUCCUCUGACGUUAGCGGCGGACGGGUGAGUAACACGUGGAUAACCUACCUAUAAGACUGGGAUAACUUCGGGAAACCGGAGCUAAUACCGGAUAAUAUAUUGAACCGCAUGGUUCAAUAGUGAAAGACGGUUUUGCUGUCACUUAUAGAUGGAUCCGCGCCGCAUUAGCUAGUUGGUAAGGUAACGGCUUACCAAGGCAACGAUGCGUAGCCGACCUGAGAGGGUGAUCGGCCACACUGGAACUGAGACACGGUCCAGACUCCUACGGGAGGCAGCAGUAGGGAAUCUUCCGCAAUGGGCGAAAGCCUGACGGAGCAACGCCGCGUGAGUGAUGAAGGUCUUCGGAUCGUAAAACUCUGUUAUUAGGGAAGAACAAAUGUGUAAGUAACUAUGCACGUCUUGACGGUACCUAAUCAGAAAGCCACGGCUAACUACGUG